UACAAGCCUGUACUGAAAAAAAAGAUGGUUUCUGUGGAAGUCCCAUGUACCAAAAAUUACAGUUAGAAACCAAAAGUAGCUUCCUCUUCCCCCCUUUUACAAUACAAUCUUUUCUUAUUUUCUUGAAGCCAUGAUAUCAUAGACAAGAGGAGUUCCAGCUCGCGUCAACAGCUCUGAUUAUCUUGUCAUGAAGGUUAGCUCCAGCACAAGCGAUGACUCCUCGGUCGAGGCCUUCCAAAUACAUACCUUUUGAGAAGUUGAGCGGACAGCCUCUUGCAUCUGUAACUACACCACCGGCUUCUUGUAUGAUAACCACACCGGCUGCAUGAUCCCAUAUCUUCUCCUUGUAACCAGCUCUAGCAAACUUCAUGAAGAUUUCAGCAUCACCGCG
rnacentral:misc_RNA from 1 species